GCCAAUCACAACGCACUGAAUAGCUGGCCAAUCAGAGUACAGAGAGAUGAGCUUUGUGAAAAUUGACGCGUUUAAGAAGGAGAAAUAAUAAUGUACAGUAUGUGGCAAAUAAUGUUUUUUUUUAACCUUAAACCACAUAAACAUCACAUUUGAGUCCUCUCCCUUCAAUACCCAUCACACUCUCGUAUAAUUUAAAUGGUCACAGCUCUGAGCUAUUGUUUACUGUACAAAGAUAAACAUUGUUUUUAUAUUUUGUGUAGACUGUGUUUUGCUACUGGCCACAGAAGAAUGUUACGGCCAAAGUCAAAAGGAGAGAGAUACCAGAUAAAACACGUUGGGUCAAAUGUAAAGUCUCUGUUUUAACAUACACAGACACCUACAACAAGGCCAGAGAAAAGGUCAACCAAGCAACAGUAACCUCUAAUUUGGAGAGUGACCAGGAAGAACAAACAGGCAGGAAGAUUGUCACUCCUGCUCGGUACCUUGACUCAGGUAACAGACGGUUUGAUACCUCUUUGUCUUUUGUGGCUUGCCCCCAUUUUCAAAAAAAUAUCUUACGGUAUGCUGUACAUGCUUACUUGAUACUAGAUACAGAUAUGGAUGAGACCUUAGCCAAAAGAAUUAAGCAAAAAACUGCCACAUCUGCCACAAUGGAUCAGACUCCACAGAUGCCAGCAAUGCCUUCAUUCACUCCAUCAGUGGAUUUAUUUUCAGACAGACACCACCAGGACAGUCCAAGAUAGUCUCCAUUUUAGCAUAAUAUUGUUUUCACUCCUGUCCGGCUGUACAUCCAUGUAAUUUCCCACAAGUUUGGGCUGAAAAUCAUUAAAAGUAAUUUGGACUUGUGUUGUAUAGUGUAAGACAUGUAGAAAAGAUUGUAGCUGAUCCAUGUACCGAUAAGG
ensembl:lncRNA